UACGGAGGGUGCAAACGUUAAUCGGAAUCACUGGGCGUAAAGCGCACGUAGGCGGUUCGUUAAGUGGGAUGUGAAAGCCCUGGGCUCAACCUGGGAAUUGCGUUUCAAACUGACGGGCUAGAGUACGAUAGAGGGAGGUAGAAUUUCCUGUGUAGCGGUGAAAUGCGUAGAUAUAGGAAGGAAUACCUGUGGCGAAGGCGGCCUCCUGGAUCGAUACUGACGCUGAGGUGCGAAAGCGUGGGGAGCAAACAGG
rnacentral:rRNA from 1 species